CCUACGGGAGGCAGCAGUGGGGAAUAUUGCACAAUGGGCGAAAGCCUGAUGCAGCAACGCCGCGUGAGCGAUGAAGGCCUUCGGGUCGUAAAGCUCUGUCCUCAAGGAAGAUAAUGACGGUACUUGAGGAGGAAGCCCCGGCUAACUACGUACCAGCAGCCGCGGUAAUACGUAGGGGGCUAGGGUUAGCCGGAAUUACUGGGGUGAAAGGGUGCGUAGGUGGUUUUUUAAGUAAGAGGUGAAUGGCUACGGCUCAACCGUAGUAAGCCUGUGAAACUGGGUAACUUGAGUGCAGGAGAGGAGAGUAGAAUUCCUAGUGUAGCGGUGAAAUGCGUAGAUAUUAGGAGGAACACC
rnacentral:rRNA from 1 species